rnacentral:lncRNA from 1 species
GUUAUCAUUUCCGGUUUUCUAUAAUGGAAACAAAAAUUAGUGCUGGGGUCCAUAUAUUUGGACGGAUGCAAGGAAAGGCCUUGGAUAAUCAUUUCAUUUAUCUGGAAAUAUCGGCGGAAAAUGAUUUCGCGUCAUUCCUGAAAACCUUAGGGGUUGAAUAAUGGAUUUAGCGAAAGGUGCGCGAAGUUUGGAAUAACUAACUUUGAGACAGAGCUGUCCAUUUUAGAAAAAAAAGACCGUAAACUUGUUGUUAUAAACAACAAUUCAUCAUUCAAGCAUGCUGUUAAACUGCUUCUUAAGGAAGAGGCUGAUCUUCAUGGUAAUUAAACUUAAUUAAUUUA